GAGUUUGAUUAUGGCUCAGGAUGAACGCUAGCUACAGGCUUAACACAUGCAAGUCGAGGGGCAUCAUGGUAUUAGCUUGCUAAUACUGAUGGCGACCGGCGCACGGGUGAGUAACACGUAUCCAACCUGGCUUUCACUCAGGGAUAGCCCAUCGAAAGAUGGAUUAAUACUUGAUGGUAUAUACAUUUCGCAUGUUUUGUAUAUUAAAGAUUUAUCGGUGAUAGAUGGGGAUGCGUACCAUUAGUUUGUUGGCGGGGUAACGGCCCACCAAGACUUCGAUGGUUAGGGGUUCUGAGAGGAAGGUCCCCCACAUUGGAACUGAGACACGGUCCAAACUCCUACGGGAGGCAGCAGUGAGGAAUAUUGGUCAAUGGACGUAAGUCUGAACCAGCCAAGUAGCGUGAGGGAUGACUGCCCUCUGGGUUGUAAACUUCUUUUAUAUGUGAAUAAAUUUUCCUACGUGUAGGUUUUUGCAUGAACAUAUGAAUAAGCAUCG
rnacentral:rRNA from 1 species